rnacentral:rRNA from 1 species
UACGGAGGGUGCAAACGUUGCUCGGAAUCAUUGGGCGUAAAGCGCACGUAGGCGGCCGAUUAAGUCGGAUGUGAAAGCCCCGGGCUCAACCCGGGAAGUGCAUACGAAACUGGUCGGCUUGAAUAUGGAAGAGGGUCGCGGAAUUUCCGGUGUAGAGGUGAAAUUCGUAGAUAUCGGGAGGAACACCAGUGGCGAAGGCGGCGACCUGGGCCAAUAUUGACGCUGAGGUGCGAAAGCGUGGGGAGCAAACAGG